rnacentral:rRNA from 1 species
UAGCGAAGGGGGCUAGCGUUGCUCGGAAUCACUGGGCGUAAAGCGCACGUAGGCGGAUUCCUAAGUCGGGGGUGAAAUCCUGGAGCUCAACUCCAGAACUGCCUUCGAUACUGGGAAUCUUGAGUCCGGAAGAGGUGAGUGGAACUGCGAGUGUAGAGGUGAAAUUCGUAGAUAUUCGCAAGAACACCAGUGGCGAAGGCGGACUCACUGGUCCGGUACUGACGCUGAGGUGCGAAAGCGUGGGGAGCAAACAGGG